rnacentral:rRNA from 1 species
AUUGAACGCUGGCGGCAUGCUUUACACAUGCAAGUCGAACGGUAACGCGGGGGCAACCCUGGCGACGAGUGGCGAACGGGUGAGUAAUACAUCGGAACAUGUCCUGGAGUGGGGGAUAGCUCGGCGAAAGCCGGAUUAAUACCGCAUACGCUCUGAGGAGGAAAGCGGGGGACCUGGUAACGGGCCUCGCGCUGCGGGAGUGGCCGAUGUCGGAUUAGCUAGUUGGUGAGGUAAAGGCUCACCAAGGCGACGAUCCGUAGCUGGUCUGAGAGGAUGAUCAGCCACACUGGGACUGAGACAUGGCCCAGACUCCUACGGGAGGCAGCAGUGGGGAAUUUUGACAAUGGGGGCAACCCUGAUCCAGCCAUGCCGCGUGAGUGAAGAAGGCCU